UACGUAGGGGGCAAGCGUUGUCCGGAUUUAUUGGGCGUAAAGAGCGUGUAGGCGGCCUGAAAGGUCAGCUGUGAAAACUCGAGGCUUAACCUCGAGACGUCGGCUGAAACCAUCUGGCUAGAGUCCGGAAGAGGAGUGUGGAAUUCCCGGUGUAGCGGUGAAAUGCGCAGAUAUCGGGAAGAACACCUGUGGCGAAGGCGGCCGGCUGGGGGUGCCCUGACGCUGAGGCGCGAAAGCGUGGGGAGCGAACCGG
rnacentral:rRNA from 1 species